CGAAGGGGGCUAGCGUUGUUCGGAAUUACUGGGCGUAAAGGGUUUGUAGGCGGUUGAACAAGUCAGAUGUGAAAGCCCGGGGCUUAACCCCGGAAUUGCAUUUGAAACUGUUCAGCUAGAGAGUGUUAGAGGAAAGUGGAAUUCCUAGUGUAGGAGUGAAAUCCGUAGAGAUUAGGAGGAAUAUCGAUGGCGAAGGCAGCUUUCUGGGACAUUUCUGACGCUGAGAAACGAAAGCGUGGGUAGCAAACAGGAUUAGAUACCCUGGUAGUCCACGCCCUAAACGAUGGGUGCUAAAUGUCGGAACAUUAGUUUCGGUAUUGUAGCUAACGCGUUAAGCACCCCGCCUGGGGAGUACGGUCGCAAGAUUA
rnacentral:rRNA from 1 species